CUAUGAUCACAAUCCUUUCUUGAUGCUACAGCCGGUAAUUACCACUGGGAAGUAAUGAGUGCAUGAGCAAGGGUGAACAGAAAGGCACAGAUUGAGUGGAGGGCAGAUAAAGCAGCUGCAGAAGAAAAAAAAUCCUACUCAUUCCAAAGAGGCCAAAUGUUGAAGUGAGGCCACUUUCAUCCUAAGUGAAAAUAUGGCUCAACUAGAAAAGAACCAGCAUUUUUUCCACAGGAUGGAAGGACUGGCCUGGAAAAAAAGUAGAGGACAGGAUGACUUCUAUGUCAUAACAAACCAAACCUGAAUCUGAUUUUGAUGACAGAUAAAAUACAUGAGGUUUGAAUCUUGUUAAAACUCACCAAAAAUAAAGUCCUCGCAAUUAAUUUUUAUUAACA
rnacentral:lncRNA from 1 species